UCUUGUAUGAUCUGUCACCUAUUACGGUGACAAUAAGAGAAGAACGACAUAGUUUUCUUCAUUUCCUAACUCGGCUAUGUGCCGUGCUUGGUGGCACAUUUGCUUUAACAGAUUUUGAUGUAUCAACUCUGCAAAGGAAUUUCAUUCUGUCAUGGUCAUGGAGUGUUGCACAGGGAUCUUAAGCCUCACAAUCUUUUAAUGGACCGCAAGACUAUGAUGCUAAAAGUUGUGGAUCUUGGACUCAGUCGUGCUUUCACCAUUCCCCUCAAGAAAUACACGCAC